CUUACCGGCGGGCUUGGCGGGGCGGAGGGAGCCGACUCGGGUGGACGGCCUCCCCCGCGCCCAGGCCCGGGAUCUCCGCCGCCCAGUCCUAGGGCUCCGGCGUCUCGGGGUAAGCAAGAGUCCGUGCGGGGGAGGGGGAAGGGGACAGACGCGGAGGGGAAGGGGAAGCCCCGGUCCGCAGCACCAACGCGCGAUCCCCUGCGGAGUGGAGCUAACAAUUCAUUAUUGAAGCACCAAGGGCGAGGGCAGCAAGAGCUAUAAGUAACCAGUCGUCGCCGCCGCCGCCGCCGCCGUCGCGCGCGCGCUCCCGCUCCCUCCGCUUAUCUGCCCCCGGCAGCCGCCAUGACGCCGAGAAAGCAAGCGAGCGCAACCGUCUCCGUCGUAGCCGCCGCCGCCACCGAGGUCGCCGUCGCCUCCGCCUCCCGCGCGACGUAAGCGCCUCUGCUCACUCCCCUUCCCGACAGAGCGCGAGGCGGGCGGGCGCGCGCACGCCGAAGCCUUUCUGCUCGCGCGCGGGAGGCGGGAGGGACUACGUUGAAGGGUCGUGGGCGUAGGAAAAAAGCGAUUGGUGCUGGGGCGGGGCGGGGGGGGCGAGUGCGCGCACGCGCACGAAUGGGAGUGCGCACGGCGGAUGCGCAGAGGCUGUCGGACUCUGACUGCGCGGAGACCGCUGGACUCUGGUCGCGGCCUUAGUCCGCUGAUCCUCGCUUGGGUGCCCGCCCUUAGCGGCCCGGCGUUGAAUUCCGGGAAGUGGGAGCUUCAGGCUCGCUCCGUGCGGGUAUGGGCGCUAAUGUCACUUGGGAUGGUUGCGCAAGGACAUCGCGGCGGACACUGACAAGGAACCGGGGAGGAACGGGGGUGGGGAGAGACUGCGAUGGGACUCGGGAAGCCGGGAAGGGCCGCGCUGAAUAAGCCUAAGGGGCCGGGUCGCAAGGAGUGUCGGGUAGCACAGGCCUCGGCUCAGUCGGAGCGCCAGGCCUCAGGGUCCGGGCGGGGGCUGCUGCGUCACACCAGGCAGCCUGGGAACGCAACUGUUGGGCAACCGUGGUGGCCUCUCGCCACCUCUUACGCUUGGGCGAUCUGCGAUUGACGCAUCCUGGGAGCUGAUGUCCCGCACGGGCGGGGCGCCGGAGGAGGAGAGAAAAUAGAGACCCGGUUGUUGACAGCCUGUGAUGCCGCUUGAUUCAUGUAGGCGGGGUUUUGUCAUGUUGCUAGGUUGGUGUUGAACUCCUGAGCUCGAGCGAUCCACCUGCCACUGCCUUCCAAAGUGCUGGAAUUACAGGCGUGAGCCACGGCGCCCGGUGGCCGAGGUUAAUAAUAAUUAAAAGUUUCUAAUCCCAUUGUUCAGUUAUUUGAUUUGGUGUAAAGGCGCACUUUCCAAGUCAGAUGAGUUUGUGGUAACAUACAUUCCCCAAAUAAUUAUUUUUCCCUUGUGGGAAAUAUUCCAGUUUUAGGCUACCAGCUGUUUAAACAGUUUGGUUCAAAUCCUUCAAAAAAAUCUCAAAACAUAACUCCACAUAUGUAUUUACUACAUAUUGAAGGGUGUAUUCACUUGGAGAAGUAGGAGAAAGCAAACAGAUGCCAAUGGCCUUUUUGAAAACAUGUAUCUAUCAGCAAUAAUUGAAUAGCAAAACGAAGUGGAACACUACCAUCCUUUGCAAUAUUAGAUAGUUUUAAUACUGGGUUGUGAGGAAUGAAAAGAUCAUACAAAUCGUCAUUUCUGAAGUCAUUUCUGAAGUCGUCAUUUCUGAACUGAGUGCUAAUUUUUCAUAUUAAGCUUUAUGUUAAUAUCCUUAAUGAGAGGAACUUCCUGUGCCCGUAAUUUCUCCAGAGAAACUAUUAACAUACACAGAAUGUUGUAAUCAGAAGUAUAGUUCAGUUAAUAAAGUCCUCAAUUACAACUCUGACAUUUUGUCAUUGUCUUAUGAAAAGAAUUACUGUAUAUACAGUCUAUUUUACGUUUUCCGGAAGCACGUCAGGCAGGUUUUUUGUUUUUUUACUACUAAUUGUGCCAUUGAAUAUGCUAUUCUGUCGUAUUGUGCCAUCAAACAUGCUAUUCGAAAAAAGAUCUUGCCCAAUUUGUAAUAAAAUAUUGAACAUUGGAGAUUUAGAUUUCGAGUAAAAUCAUACUUUAUUGCUUUGCAGAAGUACACAGUAGGUGGAAAAUUGCAACAAUCUUGCCAGUUCAUUUUUUAAAAAGCGUGUAGGUAAUCCAAAGAUACCUUUUUGAUGAUUUGUUAUCAACAUAGUUAAAUUUGCAGUGUCACUUUAUUUGAAUAAACUAGCUUUAUCUCUACUUAGUGGUACUAAAACAAUAGCCAAACAGUUGAUAAUCUCAACACAUGACUAACGAAAAAUUCCACAUAAUUAACAUUAACCAGGAGGUUUUUGUUACUAUUUAAUUUCUCAUUUUUAAAAUUUCAUAUUCUUUGGAAAGAAUAUUACUUUUCCGGAAUCUAAGACAGCAUUUUGUGGGUCCUUAAUUGUGAUAUGCUUUACUAGGUAAAGUACUAAAUGGGUAUCCUUAGGUGGGGAUAGGCUGGGAACCACAUAUCCAGAAUUGUGAAAUAUAUAACAUAAACAGGAUAACUUGCUCCUUUGUUAGCUUUUUGGAUGCCAGGGUUAAGAUUUUAAUUCCAUAAUUAUGUCCUUGUUGCCUGGAGGAUUUGCAUAUGAGAAACCACAAAAACAAUCGGGACAUUAUUAAAAUACCCUAGAAUCUCAACCUGUGACAGUAUUUCCCAUGUCCUUGCAAAACCAGAGGAAGUCUUUCCAAUAUGAUUCUUAAAUUUACAAAGUCCUCUGAAUAGAAACCAUGAAAUCCUAAGUCAUCUUCUAGUGAAGAUUUGCUGUACAUUUUCUGUUUUCCUAAUAAGAAAUUAGAGGAGUUUAGUUCCCAGUGUUGGGCAAGGGAUAGGACUCAGUCACCUGGAAAGUUCUUUUGUAACUACACGUGCCUGACACUCCUAUUCUUCCCCUCUGCUGAUAUGCAGAAUUUCUAGGUUCUAGGUAGUAUUUGGGAAGUUUCCCAGAUUAUUCUGAUAUCUACCAGCGGCUCAUCCACCUUCUUUAUGGUCACUGUAUUUGGGGAUUUUGAAUGAUAAAUUCUUGAAUCACUAAAAGCUAAAUUUCAAACAGAAAAUUGUUAGAGAUGAUACUAAGAGGCAAGUAUGUAUAAAAUCUAAUAGGCAUUGAAGAAGAUACAAAGAUUCCAUCCUCUACUGAAAAAUUAAGUGUGCACGCAGAGUAAGAAAGAAGGUUAAGUAGCCAACCUCAAAAAUAUUUAAAAAUUAUUGCAUUGAUGCUGUAUCACUCAUUUCCUUGCCCAGAUUCUUUUUUUUUUUUUUUUUUUUUGAGACAGAGUCUCACUUUGUCACCCAGGCUGGAGUGCAGUGGUGCUAUCUCAUUUCACUGCAAUCUCCGCUUUCUGGGUUCAAGUGAUUCUCAUGCCUCAGCCUUCCAAGUAGCUGGGACUACAGGCACGCGCCACCACACCCAGCUAAUUUUGUGUACUUUUAGUAGAGACUGGGUUUCACCAUGUUGGCAAGGCUGGUGUCAAACUCCUGACCUCAGGUGAUCUGCCUGCUUCAGCCUCCCAAAGUGCUGGGAUUACAGGUGUGAGCCACCAUGCCCAGCCCUUGCCCAGAUUCUUUAUUCACUGCUGUCCAAAUACUGUUGGUCCUCUGUACCUGCAGGGAUUUGCAGGUACAGAGGCUCAACUAUAAGGGACUUGAGCAUCCCCAGGUUUUGGUAAAUGGGGGUCCUGGAACUAAUUCUCUGCAGAUACUGAGGGACAAACGGUACCACUCAUUUUAAUGCAGAAAUUUUGUAUUCAUCCUUUCUUUUUAACUCCCACUACCGGGCUUAGUUUAGGCCUCUAUUUUCUCUAUCUUUCCCUUCAGCUUAUCCUUUAGGUUUCCUUCAAACUUGAAAUCUAACUAAAUCAGUCCCCUGUUAUAUACCACAUAUAUUUGUAAACUAAACAUAUAUGAAGAUGUAUGUACAUAUCAUAUAUUCCUAGUAUUUUAGUUACUUAAUUUUUUCACAGACUAAUCUCAGUAUUGCCUCUCAUCAUUCCUAAUGGACACUUGGUACUCUAGACACUUCUUCAGGUCACUGGAAAGGUAUCUCUCAUUGUAAGUGGAUAUAACCCAUUUAUCUUAUGGGUCAGUCUUUCAUAAGUUCGUUUAAGUAAAUGCUCAAGAACUGUUGAGUACCUUGACACAAUUGUGCUGACAACCUAUAAGACUUGUCAGAAAACUCUCUGACCUCCCUUUUAGGACAUGGAAUUGAGUAUUCUGUAAGUGCGGCAUGUCAUUGUAUCACAAUAUAGCAUUUGUUUCCAUACUACAUUGUGAGGUCCUUGAGCAAAGAGUACUGUGCCCCAGUGCAUUGUAUUGAUAUUCAUUCAAUACAAAUGUAAGAAUGUAUUACAUACCAGACAUUCUGCUGAGGGUAGGGAGGGAUUAUAAUACAGCAAAAACUAACACUUUCAAAGUUAAAGCCUAGUUCAGGACACAGUCACACUAUAAAAUGACAACUUAGAAAAAUAGUAUGAAGAGACAUACGGUGCUGUGAGAAUCCAUAAUAAAGAACCCUAGUCAGAAAAGUCUCAAGGAAGUGACGUGAUCGUUGUGGUCUAGAGCUGAAGAAUUAAUAUGAAUUAGGUAGGCAAGAAAGGGAAGUACAAGAGCUGCUUUCUGGGUAAAAGAAACAACAUGGGCAAAGAUUCUGGGGUCAGAGAGAUCACGUCAGUGCACUUGCCAGUUUGCCAAGAACAGGCCGUAUUCACUUUCAGAAGUGUUCAGGUUUGGAUAGUAAAUUGCAGGGCCAUCCUAUCUAUAAGGGACUCUAAGAAGCAUGGUUCUGCUGGAGCAAACAGCAGCUGGACAAGAUGAGGCUACAUAGACACUAGGCCCAAAGGCUAAGUGAAGUAUGUUUUUCAAGACAAUGAGGAAGCUAUUGAAGGAUUUGAAACUGGGUGGUAGCUUGAUGGGACUGGCAAAUUGAAAGUUUUUACUUUAGGUAUAAAUCCCAAAGAAGGAUUAGAUGUGGGUUGAAGUAGAUACAGUAUUCCUAAUUAAGUCAGGAGUCUUUGGCAGAUAAGAGAGGUUAGAAAUGACAUGAUAGACUAGGAUAGUGUAAUGGAGGUGGAGAGAAGUAGAAUUGGGAAGGGUAACAAAACUUGAUGGGAUUGGAUUCAGGCAGGGUUAGGAGGAGGAGGGAUGUUAGUCAUUUGCAGCUGAAUGACAUUCACUUAUAUAGUAAUGUAUUUGGAGAUGUAUAGAUAGGGAGAUCAUUACGUUUGGUUUAAGACAGAAUUGGGCCGGGUGUGAUGGCUCAUCCCAGCACUUUGGGAGGCCAAA
rnacentral:lncRNA from 1 species